rnacentral:sRNA from 1 species
GAGAGGGGGUGACUAGUGAAAGAGUGAGAGGGGGUGACUAGUGACAGAGUGAGGGAGGGAGUGGGUGACUAGUGACAGAGUGAGGAAGAGGUGACACAGUGACAGAGUGAGGAAGGGGGUGACACAGUGACAGAGUGAAGGAGGUGGUGACUGUCACUAGUCACCCCAUCCCUCCCUCUGUCACUAGUCACUCCCUCCCUCCCUCUGUCACUAGUCACUCCCUCCCUCACUCUGUCACUAGUCACCACCUCCAUCUCUUACUCUGUCACUAGUCACCCCCUCCCUC